AGGAGGCUAGGAUUUUUUCAUUCAAUCAUCAAUUUCCUCAUACAUGAGAGGGGUGGUCUUUAUAUAGACCUUACACAUUGAUCAAAUCAAGUAAUCAAUUGAUCAAAUCAAUCAAUUGACACCGAUUAAAUUUGGACCCUUACAUCAACUAAUCCCUUACCAAAAUUGGUCCACUAAAUUAACCCAAUUACAUAAACCCAAUUGACUAGUCUAAUAACAAAACAACUGACCAAAUUGACUUGACUAAGACAAAAGCAAAUAAUGCAAUAAAA
rnacentral:lncRNA from 1 species